CGAACGAGUUUAGGCUCGUGGCGUACGGCUCAGUAACACGUGGAUAACCUACCCUUAGGACUGGGAUAACCCUGGGAAACUGGGGAUAAUACCGGAUAGGCAAUUUUUCCUGUAAUGGUUUUUUGUUUAAAUGUUUUUUCGCCUAAGGAUGGGUCUGCGGCCGAUUAGGUAGUUGGUUAGGUAAUGGCUUACCAAGCCGUUGAUCGGUACGGGUUGUGAGAGCAAGAGCCCGGAGAUGGAACCUGAGACAAGGUUCCAGGCCCUACGGGGUGCAGCAGGCGCGAAACCUCCGCAAUGUGAGAAAUCGCGACGGGGGGAUCCCAAGUGCCAUUCUAACGGGAUGGCUUUUCAUUAGUGUAAA
rnacentral:rRNA from 1 species